UACAGAGGUCUCAAGCGUUGUUCGGAUUCAUUGGGCGUAAAGGGUGCGUAGGUGGCGCGGCAAGUCAACGGUGAAAGCUCGACGCUCAACGUCGAGUCGGCCGUCGAUACUGCCGCGCUGGAGCACUGUAGAGGCUCAUGGAAUUCCGGGUGUAGCGGUGGAAUGCGUAGAGAUCCGGAAGAACACCGGUGGCGAAGGCGGUGAGCUGGGCAGUUGCUGGACA
rnacentral:rRNA from 1 species